CUUCCUUCCUCUGUCUCUCUCUCUCCUUCUUUCAUACUGAGGAUCAAACCCAGGGACAUUCUACCACUGAGCUAUAUCCCCAGUCCUUUUAAAUUUUUAUUUUGAGACAGGAUUUCACAAAGUUGCCAAGGCUGGCCUCAAAAUCAAGAUCUUCCUGCUUUAGCCUCCUGAAUAUUUUACAUGUACCACCACUCUGGCCUCCUCUCCCUGACUUCUUCUUCUUUUUCUUUUUUUGGUGUGUGUGUGGGGGGGUGAGAAACUGAUGUGACUCCAGUUUUGAAAACAGCUUCUACCUCAAAGCCUGUCCAACGAAGGGGGUGUGACCCUUGUCCUUGGAAAAACCCACAGAGAGCUCCUAGGCACAUAUCCACCCUGCUGAGUUGUUUGUCUGAAAAUAACAGGAGAGAUCUGCAGAGCCAGGUGUCCCUGAUUCAGUCAGGCUAGGUGAGGACCCAUAGCAACCCUCUAGCAGCCACCAAUCAGCAUGAGACAGGGAAAAUACCUGGGAUGCCAGAUGACCCCCCCCAGUAGUUUAUGGUGGUUGAUAACAUGUUGGGAAACCAUGUAGUUUAGCACAAACACCCCUCAUGGCUUAAAACAAUCAGUUCAAAGGAAUCCUCCUCUUUUACUAACCAAACACUCCUACUCAACUUGUUCCCCCCAGUGAAUGUGCUAAUCAAUGUUAAUUGUUGUUUGACUUUCCCUCGGUGUGAAAUGAUUUUCUAUAUGAUGUUAUGACACAUAGAGUAUCCCCCAAAACCUAUAAAAUCUCAUUGAACAAAGGACCGGGACUCACUCCUCAGGACCGCUGUGUCGGGAACGGUUGUUGAGUCCAGGCUUGCAAUAGAGACUCUUGUGUGAUUGCAUCGGAUUCGGCUCCUGGAGGUCUAUUGGGGUCCCAUGAAUCUGGCAUUACAGGGGCAGUACCAGAGAUUGAACUCAGGGCACUCAACCACCGAGCCACAUCCCAAGCCUUAUUUUGUAUUUUAUUUAGAGUUGCUUAGCGCCCUGCUUUUGUUGAGGCUGGCUUUGAAAUCGUGAUUCUCCUGCCUCAGCCUCCUGAGCUGCUGGGUCUCCCAGACUUCUUACGUGGUAGUGUUCAUGCCUCAAUUCCUGGAUCUUUUCUUUUUCUGUCCCUAGGUGAUCUCAUACAGUUUCAUGGUUCCCCACCAGAUUUAAAUAGUUUCUUCAAAGACCAUGUUUGUGUUGACAACUUCAAAUUACUAUUUCUAGAUCAGACCACUCCCUGGAAUUCCAGACUUGUACUUCCAAUGUCUGGAUUCAUCCAAGGUACCACAUUAUGUAUAUUUGUCCAGUGUCUUUGGAUUCUUCUUGCCUGUGACAGUUUUACAAAGUUUCCUUGAUUUUUCUGACCUUGAUAAUUUAGAGGAGUACUGGUCAAACACUUUAUAGGAUGUCCUCUUUUGGAAUUUGGUGUUUUCCUAGUGAUUAGCCAUCUGUGGGCUGUGUGUGGACUAUGUUGCUAGUAUCCUCCUGAGGAGAUAAGUCUGGCCCUGGGACCUUCCUGAGCAACCCCCAUAGGCAUUGACUGCCUGAAGCAGGUGAACUUCCCCUUCAAGCUCUGCCUAAGAUUCUACACAACACCUGAGAUGAGUGUGACUUGCCGAGAUGUCAAUCAACCUGCUGACUGCAAGACAUCACUGAAGCAAGACUCACCCUUGAAAACUUAUCCCUGCCUUUGAUGUACCCCCUUAAAUAAACCACCAGAGCCAUU